AAGUCGUAACAAGGUAACCGUAGGUGAACCUGCGGUUGGAUCAUUACUGAUUUUGUCAUUUGGGUCGAGUCUCUUAGGAGAUUCCCCACUUGGCGAUAUACCACUGUGCACUAACUGUAUUUUGGGUCUUGGCGAGUCUAUUUAUAGGCAAGCCGAGGCCCAGCAUUAUGAACCAAUGAAUUUUUUGUCUAAAAUAUCUAUAAAAUAGAAACAACUUUCAACAACGGAUCUCUUGGCUCUC
rnacentral:misc_RNA from 1 species